rnacentral:rRNA from 1 species
UUAACUAAGAUUCCUUUAGUAGCGGCGAGCGAAACAGGAUAAGCCCAGCACUAAGCCCUUCCAGUCGUUCUGGCUGGCAGGGGAUGCAGUGUAUGGAAUGUCUAUUAUCUUAUAUGACGGUAAUACGUUCAAGUCCAUCUUGAAUGGGGCUAUUUUACCCAUAGAGGGUGCCAGGCCCGUAGCAGCUAUUACCAGUAUAAGAAGAUUUUUCCAAAGAGUCGUGUUGCUUGAUAGUGCAGCACUAAGUUGGUGGUAAACUCCAUCUAAGGCUAAAUAUAACCACGAGACCGAUAGCGAACAAGUACCGUGAGGGAAAGUUGAAAAGCACUCUGAAUAGAGAGUUAAAUAGUACGUGAAACCGCUAAGGGGUUAAGCCCGAUGAACCUGAAUAUCUGAAUUGAGAAAUUCAAUACUACUCUUAACGGGGUGGUAUGCACUUUUCUCAUAGUAGGACAUUGCGAUCCAUUAGUAUUAUAUCUUUUUAAAAGAUGGUUUAUCAUACGGCCCAUUAGUUAGUUUAAUUAUUUUAUAAUAAUUUAUUUUGUUAUAUGAAUUAAUACUAUUGUGGUGACCUGAUAAACAGCUGAUGGAACUUAAAAAUCAUGCAACCAUGCAUAUGUAUCACGAUUUUGAUAUUAUUUUAAUAUUAAAAUGCAGUGAUAGCAUGUAUUUGAUUAGCAAUGCGAUAGAUUUGGGAUACCUUCGGGACCCGUCUUGAAACACGGACCAAGAAGUCUAACAUGUGUGUAAGUCAUUGGGUAUUUUGUUGAACCUAAAGGCGAAUUAAAUAACUAUUUUAAUGGGAUUACAAGCAAUUUAUAAAUGAUUGUUUCUCCAUCCCGGGGCGUUCUAUUUAAACAUGAUUUAAGCAUUAAUCCUCUGUUGAGAGCGUACCUUGACAUACA